GUUCCCUUGGACACAAGCUGCAUUACUAUUUAAGUGAUCCUUUUUCAGUACUAUUCUACUGGACACGAAGUGUGUUCAUUUCACUCUCAAUAUCCAGUUUCAAGGCUGAAGAACCGCACACUCAUGGACUGAUUGUUGUGGACCAAGAAGUAUAGGUAAGAAAAUACCUCGCUUUCUUUAUAGCUUUCUCAGACUACUGCUAUUAUUAUUCUACCUCUAAGGCCAGCCUCCCAGUAGUGUUCUCAUCUAUCAGAACUUUUUUAACCAAUUAACCUUUCUAUUUAGCAGGAAAAAAAUAUAUGAAACAUUUAAACAGAUACGACUUUAAAAGAUAUUGUAUAAAUUUAAUAUAGCUUAUUUGUCAUGAAGUCCAUAAAACACUCUUCAACCUUUAUAUGUUUAUAAUAUAAAAUCAAUGUGAAAGAACAAGUAUUUUAUUAGAAAGGUAACAAUAAAACCAAAUUAUAAAAAGAAGACACUAAAUAACUAUCUAGUACUAAGUAUUUGGCUAGGCUAAUUUCCUGCAGAAAAUGAAUAUCUACUAUGUGUACCUACCUCAACCCCAUCCACUCAGCAAUAUCUGUGAAUUGACUGGGAAGACAUAUUAAACUGCGCUGCAGAAUAUGUAAGAAGCAGAGUCAAAGUAUUAGUUUGUUCAGAGUUAAACAUACAUAUAAAAGGACAGGGUUCAUUUAGCAUUAACUGUGAAUCUCUGAGAGUAUCUAAUUUAUUGUUUUUAUUAAUAAAUAUCAUGUCCAGUAUGAGGGUUAGGGGCAAGAGAGAAGGAAUUUAAAUACUUAGAACAUUUUAGAGAACGUUCCAAGAGAAACCAAAUACCUCAGACUAUUUAGAGACAGAAGUAUUUUGCAGUGAAUGUGCUAUGAAAGAAUUUAUUAAAGUAAUUACCUUUACUAUUCACUGAUUUCCAUAGCAACGGCACAAAUUUUGAUUUCCUUGAAUUGAUAUUUAAGACUGUUUUGAGGAGUAAAUUAUUUCUCUGGUUUACUCAUUCCUUUAAUGCCCUCACCAACCUUCACCCACUAUAGUGGAAAAAAAAAUAGGACCACAAACUUGGUAAAGUUGGCUACAAAUAACUGAUUUUUCCUUAGUACUAUUCUAUGACCUGUGUUAAUUUGUUUUCAAACCAAAAAACAGUGUUCUAUGGAAGAUUUCAGAUAAUUUCUACAAACUCAAGUUCAUGGUUUUACAUAUAGAUAUGAUAUGUGAUAAGGUAAACACAGAAGUCAUAGAGGAAAUUCAAGUGAUUUCAGAUGCUCCUCAUAGGCAUGCUUCCCCCAGUCUCAUCAUGCACACUUGAAGCCACCCUUUUCCAGAUCAACUGCCUGUGAAAGAUUUUCAGAACUCUGAGCCAUUACUAAAUGGCCAUGGAAAGAAAUUAAGCAAAGAAAAAUUGGACAGACUUUCAGGAAAAGUUUCCUAAUUGUGAAAACUAUUAAAAUGUGGAAUAAAUAUCCUCUGAGGGAGAGGAUAGAUGCCCAUCUCUGAGGCUUUAAAAACAGGAUUUGACCAACACUUUGGGAAGAGAAAUGAGGGCAAUAUUCAUUACUUGGCAAGGAAGUGAGCUGGAUGACAUAAUGGUCUUUUCCCUCUUUCAUGCUAAUGCCUCUUUAAUGUUUCCAUUUAAGUAGUAACUUAGUUUCAAAAGCGGACAUUUUAAUGUGGGAAGAGUACUCAGGUUUCAAUGAAAACCUCACCAGAAAAAAUCAGGAAUGAAGGCCACCAUUGACCCUGUACGUGGAUUACUUUUGUAUUUGACCACGUAAGACAAUUGGAUGGGCACCUAAUAUAUUUCCUGGUACACUCCUAUUGUGGUUGGUCUUCUUUAUCUGUAUGUCUAUCUUGUUCAGUCUGCGCUUCAGCUUUGCAGGAAAAUAGAAAUUUUUUUUUCUGUGCUUGUUUAUGCUAACCAUGGUGCCUACAACUGCAUCUGCUGCCUUUACACGGGACUGCAAACCUGUUUUUUUCAACCUUCUGUUUUAUGGGUGUGCACACCCAUAAAUCUCCUGUGGCUGGGUUAAGGGAACAUACAAGCAGCUCUUCAGCAUUAAGAAUGUGAUGGGAGAGAUUCAGGUAGAUUUGAACUGCCAUCAUCAAUCAAGACCAAGGAGAAGGCUGCUUUCCAGGAUGUACACAUGGCCUCUGUUUGCUGUUGCUGUUUUGCUUCUUUUAAGAGGUGAACCAAUAUAUGUAUGUCUGUUUCUACUGUCACUUGCAGCUCAACAGAACCCUGUAAUAUACAUGAACAAGUUUCUGGAAGUUAAGAGCAGGAAAUUCCACUGAAACAAAAUAGAACAUACCUUUAUGUUCUAUUGAGAGAGUGUGGAAGAAGAAAAUUCUGUAUUGGUUUUGACUAACAACAAGCUGCCGGAAGAUCUCUUUUUCUCCUACAGGUUAAUAAGGAGAAAAUUGAAAUUAGAAGCAUAAAGCAUUUUGUCAAGAUAUAACUAUGAAGAUAUUUUCAUUACUAAAUAUACAAAUAGGCCAGUUGCAGUGGCUCACACCUGUAAUCCCGGCAUUUUGGGGGACCGAGGCAGGCAGAUCGCCUGAAGUCAGGAGUUCGAGACCAGCCUGGCCAUCAUGGAGAAACUCCAUCUCUACUAAAAAUACAAAAUUAGCCGUGUGUAGUGACACAUGCCUGUAAUCCCAGCUACUUGGGAGGCUGAGGCAGGAGAAUCGCUUGAACUCAGGAGGCAGAGGUUGCUGUCAGCCAAUAUUGCACCACUGCACUCCAACCUGGGCAAUAAGAGCAAAACUCCAUCUCAAAAAAUAAGUAAAUAAAUAAAUAAUAAUAUAUAUACAUUUUCAUACACAUAUACUUGUCUAAAUAUGGCAUAUAAAUCUAAAUAAAUAAAUGGAUAUAUCCAUCUCCUUGUGUAUAAUUCAUAUUUAUAUUAAUAUAUACUCAUUCUCUUAUGUAAGCCCUUCCCCUUGAUUAUUGGUGUGACCUGUGACUUACUUCUGUCCAACAAAAUGCAGUAAAGAUGAUGGGAUAUAUGCAAUUACAUGCACAUGAUUAUAUGACUGUUGUAAAAGAUUGUAGCACUUGUCAUGCUGGAGUCUUUCUUUCCCUUACUGACUUUGAGGAAGAAACACUUUGCAUAGCAAGGAACUAUGGGUGGCCUCCAAGAGUGGUUUCCAGCAGUCAGCAAGAAAUUGAAAUCCUCAGUUUAACAACCAAAAGGAAAUGAAUUCUGCCAUCAACUUGCAUGAAUUGUGAAACAAAUUCUUCCCCAGUAAAACCUCAGAUGAGAUCACAACCCAGCUGACAUGUUGGUUGCAAUAAAUACAUUGCAAUCAAUGAUUUGGAUUGCAGCAUAAAACUAAGGUGUAUCUAGUCUCCUGACACAUAGAAACUGUGAGAUAGUAAAUGUACAUGGUUUUAAGCUGCUAAUUUUUUGGUAAUAUUGUUAUGCAGCAGUAGAUAACUCAUACAAAUUUUAGUACAUGGAAGUCUGAUGCUGCUAUAACAAACACCGAAAAAUUUUGGGAGUUGUUUUCGAACCAGGCACUGGAUGCAGGCUGAAAUAAAUUUUUGAAGAACAUGAUAGAGAAAACUUAAAUGUCCUCAAACACACCGUUAGUAGAAAUACAUGGAAAGAGUGCUGUCAGUGAGGGCAGUUCAAAUAUUUUAAGUGUCUUGUGAUAUGUCCUUUGACCAUGGAUUAUUUAGAAGUAUUUAGAUUAUUUAGAAGUAUUUCUAAAAACUUGGAAAUUAUUCAUUUUUUGCUUAUUUAUUUUUAAUUUAUUACUUUUUGGUCACAAACAUCCUCUGUAUGAUUCAUGUUGUUUGAAAGACAUUUUUCUAUUCCUACCACCUGAGAUUACAACUUGAUAUUUGUCCUCUUCUGGCUUAUAUUGCUAUGUACUUAAGUUCAUUGUUCUUUUAUUCUGCCUUGUUUAAUUUGAUGUCAGUUUCAUCCAGUUAGUUUUUCAUUUUGAUAUUGUAAUUUUUUUAGUUUAGGAAGUUCCAUUGAUUUUUUUCCCUAUCUUCCUUUUCUAUUCUUCUAAUUUUCUUGUUUAAAUUCUUAAGCACUUUCGUAAUAGUUGUUUUAUUCCCCCUUUCUGCUAAUCUUAUCAUUUCUGUCAUUUCUUGAUCUCUUUCUGUUAAUUGAUUUUUAUCUUGAUUACAGGCCACCUUUUUUCUAUUUCUUCUUUCGUAUAGUAAUCAUUGAUUGAAUGGCUGAUAUUUUACCAUAUUGAUUGAAUUUUACUCUCUUCCUUAUUCCGUUUCCAGGGGUAGUUAAGUAACUUAUAAAUAUUAUUGAUCUAAUCAAGGUUUAAUUUUAGGCCUUCCAAGGGCAGAACUAGAUUAAUCUUUGAAGUAGGUCUAAGUUAACACUGCUACCAAGAUUUGAAUUUUCUGGGGUCUCUGAGGCAUUGGAAUCUUUCCACUGUGUCUGCUCUGAAGUCAAAUAUCUCCCAGCCAUGCAUUUAUUCUAGGAAUUGUUUAUGUUCAUCUGCUUCACAGUUCAGCAUUGUAGAAUCACAUUCUGUGUAUUUAUUUGCAUUAAUAUGUUCAGCAACAGACAUGAGGAGACCCCUAUUCAGGUUUUCUACCCUCCUGCCUGACACUCUCUCUCAUAACUUUCACCUUCUCAUACAACAUUCUUUGUCUUCCCAACAGAAUAAGAUGAUUUAGGUUAUACUGCUCUACUUAAGUUUCAUCUCUUUGUGCCAUGGUCCAUUUAGUGUCUUCAGGCACAAAGCUGAGGUGAUUAUGGGUAUCAUCCUUUUUGUUUUUCUUCUCACAGAUAUCACAAUUCUGUGCAGCUCAUUUUUUCAAUAUUCAAAAUUGAUUUCCCCCACUUUUCUAGUUGUUUCAGCAGUAUGUCAAGUUCGCUAACACUCAUUUCAAAAUUGUAUGGCCGGAAGUGGAAAUUCCUCAUUCUUUAUAUAUUGACAUAUUUACUCUUCAAACUGAGUGGUUAACUAUCUUGCCAAAUGUCACUGUGCAAGGAUUUGAACAUAGUAUGCCAGAUUCAGAAUCUAUGCAAUUAACCAUUAUAGCAAAGUGUGUACAAUAAAUUAUAAAUGGUGCUUUGUAGCCUAAGUAGAAAACACAAUGAAGGGAGUGGCAGGAGAUGAGGUUGGAGAGUUAUGUAGGAGCAGCCACAUUAAAGACAGUACUGCGGGCAGUGUUAAAGAGUUUGGUCUGCUUCCUAUAGGCCACCAAAAGCUACAGGAUAAUUUGCAGGAAAGAGCAACUUUGUCAGACUUUUUCUUUAGGUAUUAUUCUGGGAGUGGUGUAAUGGAUGGAUUUGGAAACAGACCAGAGAUAGGAAUGCGAUUCAUUCUGCGUAUGAAAUGAUGUGCACAAUACAUGUAGUCACUGAAUUUUUAAAAACUAAUUGCUAAGUUUCAAAGCUUUCUUUGAUAAGCAUGUUUAAAAUUUUCAUAUAAGAACAGCUAUUUUAAAAGUUAAAUAAAUAUCUAGAAGCCAAUGACGUUAUGAUUAAUACAUUCAAUUACUUUGUCAUGAAAUUAAAGUUGAAUCUCUGAGUCCACUUAUUAUUAAAGUGUUUGUUUUUCUUUAAAGAUGGUUAAAAAUAUUCUUUCUAGUUGGAGAAUGCCUAAAAACGAAAGUUUUCUUCCCUUGGGCAAGGCAUACCUUAGCAAACUGAAGUUAGGUCCUCAUCUGUAGAUUGAAACACUGGGUAACUAAAGCAGUGAUAUGUCAAACUUCUCUGGCAACUGAUUUCUCUUUAUAAGUGAAGGCUGAUUCAGAAAUGCAAUAAGUAUUGAGAAAACAUUGGGCAACCCUGCCUACAUAGUCACUGUUACCCGAUUCCAAGGCAUCAUUGCCCUUAGGACUCUUCUUGGAAUCCACACUAGUAACUCAGUUGGGAAAUCAUUAAACUACAUAAUCUAAAGUGAGGUAAAAUGUUAUCCAACUCAUUAAUGCAUAUAUACAGAGGAUAAACACACACACACACACACACACACACACACACACACAUAGUGUGUGGAUCAUUUAACACCUAAAUCAAAUGGUCAUGGAAUAAUUAUGUUUGUUUUAUCUGUUUACAAGUAGCUAAUUUACCCCCAAACUGUGGUAGCUUGAGUAAACACAGCUUACAAAAGUUUGUAAGUGAUGUAUUACAAAAGCAGUACAGAUCAAAUGACAAUUCAAAGUAGUUCUCAAACUCAUAGGUCAGCCAUGUCCUAAAUUCUUACCUUAAAACCUUGAUCAACAAUUCUUAUAAAAAUACCUUUUUCUAGCUCUAGAAUAUUAAUCUUGUCAUCACGUUACAUGUCUUAAAGAAAUUCUGAGAGGUUUCUGUGUGAUUCUAAGGUUACCUGUAAAAUGGGAAAUCUAUAAUUAUAUGCUUUGCAGUCAGCUGCUUCCUUCAGGCAACCACCUUGCAUUAAAUCUGCCAUUAAAAUAAAUUUAAAAAGUCUCCCCAGGGAUUGUUUUGCUCUCGUAAACUACUAAUCUGCUAAAUAUGUAAUUGAAUUAUUCUGUCAUCUUAGCACCAACUUCACUUUUAAAUAAAAACUCCUUGUAAAUAAGAGGACAAGCCAUAGAGCUGAGAUCAAUACAUACUUCUAUAAACCUUUCUUAAUAGUUGCUGAGUAGAAAAAAUAAAAGCAACUCUUAAAACUCUCCUUAUUUUCUUACCACUGUCUUGUCACUUAUGAUGAUGAGUGUACCUUUGUAGGAGCCUGGAAUAUAGCAAGAGAGAAAGAAAGGAACUAAGGAGCUACAAGAGAGUCAGAAAACAAUUAUCAAAAUGGCAAUAGAAGGUCAUUACUCAUCAAUAAUUACUUUAAAUGUAAAUGGAUUAGAUUAUCCAAUCGAAAGAUAGAGUGGCUGAAUGGAUAAAAGACCAAAAUUCAACUGUGUGUUGCUUAUUAAAAAACUCAUUUUAACUUGAAGAAUGCACAUAUGCUGAAAGUAAAGGAAUACAAAAAGAUGUUUUACGCAAAUGAUAACCAAAACAGACCAGGAUUGGCUAUACUAAUAUCAGGCAAAAUAGACUUUAAGCAAAAAACUGUAAAAAAAGACAAAGAAGGUCCUCAUAUAAAGAUAAUGGGGUCAAAUUACCAAAGGAUAUAACAAUUAUAAAUAUAGAUGCAUCUAACAUUUUAGCACCUAAAUGUUUUUUUUUUUUUUUUAAAUAUUAACAGAACUGAAGGGAGAAAAAAAUACAAUAACAGCGGGGGACUUCAACACUCCACUUUCAACAAUGAAUAG
rnacentral:lncRNA from 1 species